AAACGUAGGUCACAAGCGUUGUCCGGAAUUACUGGGUGUAAAGGGAGCGCAGGCGGGAAGACAAGUUGGAAGUGAAAUCUAUGGGCUCAACCCAUAAACUGCUUUCAAAACUGUUUUUCUUGAGUAGUGCAGAGGUAGGCGGAAUUCCCGGUGUAGCGGUGGAAUGCGUAGAUAUCGGGAGGAACACCAGUGGCGAAGGCGGCCUACUGGGCACCAACUGACGCUGAGGCUCGAAAGUGUGGGUAGCAAACAGGAUUAGAUACCCUGGUAGUCCACACCGUAAACGAUGAUUACUAGGUGUUGGAGGAUUGACCCCUUCAGUGCCGCAGUUAACACAAUAAGUAAUCCACCUGGGGAGUACGACCGCAAGGUUGAA
rnacentral:rRNA from 1 species